rnacentral:rRNA from 13 species
UGAGGGUUUGAUCCUGGCUCAGAAUGAACGCUAGUAGUAUGCUUAACACAUGCAAGUCGAACGGAAAUCAUUUUUCGUGGCGCACGGGUGAGUAAAUGCAGAACUUUUCCUUUCAGUUCAGAACAAAUAUUUCUUUCGGGAAAUAAAAAUACUGAAUAUUUAUAAAGGUUUAAUCCGCUGAAAGAUAAAUCUGUUUAAGAUUAGGUUGUUGGUAAUUUAAAAGCUUACCAAGCCAAUGAUCUUUAGUUGGUCUGAGAGGAUGAUCAACCACACUGGAACUGAAACAAGGUCCAGGCUAAUACGUUGGCCAGCAGUGAGGAAUAUUGGAAUCAAUGAACGAAAGUUUGAUCCAGCAAUACUAACUGGGUGAUUGACAGCUUAUUUAGCUGUAAGACCCUUUAAUUAAAAAUGAUAAUGACAUUAUUUAAUUGAAUUAGUCCUGGCUAAUACUCGUGCCAGCAGCCGCGGUAAUACGGGAAGGGCAAGCGUUAUUCGGCAUGACUGGGCGUAAAGAGUCCGUAGACGGUAAAACAAGUUUCUUGUUAAAUCUUAAGACCUAAUCUUAACGCAGCAAUUAAUACUGUUUUACUACGAGUUUAAUACAGAAAAGUAGAAUUUUAUACGAUAGAGGUGAAAUUUGUAAAUAUAUAAAGGAAUGCCAAUAGCGAAGGCAACUUUUUGGUAUAAACUGACGUUGAGGGACGAAAGCGUGGGUAGCAAACGGGAUUAGAGACCCCGGUAGUCCACGCCGUAAAUUCUGAGUGCUGUAAUUUAAUUGUAAUAUUUUUAAAAUAUUAUUUAGAUUUUCAAGCUAACGCAAUAAGCACUCCGCCUGAAGAGUACGAUCUCAAGAUUGGAACUCAAAGGAAUUGACGGGGGUUUAACACUAGUGGUGGAGCAUGUGGUUUAAUGCGAUAAUCCGC